rnacentral:rRNA from 1 species
UACGUAGGGUGCGAGCGUUGUCCGGAAUUAUUGGGCGUAAAGAGCGCGUAGGCGGCCCAGAUAAGUCCGGUGUGAAAGUCAGAGGCUCAACCUUUGAAUGCCGCUGGAAAACUGUCUGGCUAGAGUCCGGGAGGGGCGAGUGGAAUUCCCUGGUGUAGCGGUGAAAUGCGCAGAUAUCAGGAGGAACACCAAUGGCGAAGGCAGCUCCGCUGGAACGGUACUGACGCUGGAGG